ACCCUGCGUUGCCUAAUGGUUAAGGCAUCUCUUUCCGGUUAAUAACCUUAAUGGAGAAGACUCAGCGUUCGAGUCGCUGCAGGGUC